GACGAUUUGGUGCCACCUAUCCUAGAGAGAAAAAAGGAAAAAAACAUGCUGGCGCUGCUAGCUAGCUAAAGCUAACGAUGCUAACGGCGCUAGCUAACCUCAUAUCUGGAUGCCUCACUCUAGUUCCCGAGAGAGAGCAGCAUACUGAUCUGCCACCCCCAGCAGUUCAGCUGUAGUCACAGCAGUCCUCUGCUGUGGUAUUUGAUUUACCAGCUGCACCAGUUCCUACUACACUGGCCAUGAAGGGAGAUGCUUUUGAUGAUUCCCAGAUGGAUACAGAUCUGCCAUGCACUCCACCGCUGCCUGACAACCUCACCCAGAAGUACAUACACUGGGCCUAUCAAGACUGACAAAGCAGAAAUGGGUGGCUGACAAGGAAAAAUAAAACAUGUACCUAC
rnacentral:lncRNA from 1 species